CCUACGGGAGGCAGCAGUGAGGAAUAUUGGUCAAUGGCCGAGAGGCUGAACCAGCCAAGUCGCGUGAGGGAAGACGGCCCUACGGGUUGUAAACCUCUUUUGUCGGGGAGCAAAGCGAGUCACGUGUGACUCAUUGCGAGUACCCGAAGAAAAAGCAUCGGCUAACUCGGUGCCAGCAGCCGCGGUAAUACGGAGGAUCCGAGCGUUAUCCGGAUUUAUUGGGGUAAAAGGGUGCGCAGGCGGAGGGGCAAGUCAGCGGUCAAAUUGCGGGGCUCAACCCCGUACUGCCGUUGAAACUGCAUGCCUUGAGUGCGCGAGAGGUAUGCGGAAUGCGUGGUGUAGCGGUGAAAUGCAUAGAUAUCACGAAGAACUCCGAUGGCGAAGGCAGCAUACCGGCGCGCAACUGACGCUCAUGCACGAAAGCGUGGGUAUCGAACAGGAUUAGAUACCCGAGUAGUC
rnacentral:rRNA from 1 species